UAUUCGGUUUACACACUGGCAACACUACUUGUGUUUUCCAUUCUGACGGGAGAGUUCCUGUGUUUACAAAUGAAUUGAUGAGCUGUAAAUAAUAACCUAAAAUGUUGUCACUGAGAUGAGUAAAGAAAGAAUAUGGUAUUCCGUCGGCCCCAGGGGCGGAAUCUUUAGUAUUAGACACAACUCCUUUUAAUUCAUAAAGGGAAAAGUCUGAAUCCAAUGCCAUGUUACUUACUGUGUGUGAGGAAGCCUCAUCGCUGACUAUGUUGUGUGGUACCCAAGGGGGAGCUAAUUUGGUUAAAAAGUCAUGAGCUAAUGUUUCUGGUAUUGAUGGACUAGAAAUAUCACUAAACACAGAUUUAAAUCUUCUAAUACUACGCCAAACUAUAGAGGAAGGAGUGUUGGGGGAUAUAGAAAGACAGAAGUUUUUCCAACUCUCAGAUUUCUUUUUUUUCAAUAAUUUAGAGGUUUCUUUAUUUACAGACAUAACUAAAUCAAAAUUCUCUGAAGUCAUAUUAUAUUUAUAUUGUUUUUCAAUCUCUUUUCUGCGUUUAAUUGCUUCUGUACAUUCUGAAUCCCACCAAGGGGGUGAAGGAAUUUUGUUAGAUAAAUUUCCCUUUAGAGGGAAAACUUCAUUUGCUGCUUCGAUCAGAACAUUUGUAAGAGCAUUGGCACAAUCUAGUUGGUUAUCAGAUGAUAUAUUUGGGAGUGAAGAUAUUUUACUUUCUACACAAUUUUUAAAAGUUAGCCAAGUGUCACUAGUACUGUCUGGUAACCUAUGUUUUAAUUGAGAUGUAUGUUUCAGUGCUUUAGGUUUAUUAUAUGGUAAGGAAAUUAAAAUAGGGAAAUGGUCACUUCCAUAUGAGGACGGCAGGGUGCACCAGGUUAAGGAAGAGGCCAAACUUGGUGUACAAAUAGAGAGGUCAACUGCGCUAACAUUUUGAUUUGGUGCUGUGAGGCGUGUGGGAGAGCCAGUAUUUAAAGUACAGAGGUUAUUACUGUCAAUUAUAUCAAGAAGUGCUUCACCAUAAUUGUUUGACACUGUACUACCCCAUGUCUGAUGGUGAGAGUUGAAAUCCCCUAAUAAUAAAAAUGGUCUUGGUAAGGAAGAGAUGAUCUGAUCAAUUUCAUUAAUAAUAGACAAAGAGGGAUGUGGAAUAUAUACAGAGGCUAUACAUAUAUUACAUACACUUACAGCUAAAAUAGAAAAAUCUUCACUAUGUACAGGCAAAUUUACAGGAGAGAAUGGGACAGAGUUCCUGAUGAAAAUAGCCACUCCACCAUAUCCAUCAGGUCUGUCUUCUCUAAGGCAAUGGGCUGGCAGAAACAACAUCUGCAAAGGAUUUGGAGGCAGGUGGAUGUAGCUUUGAGGCUUCUGCGUAUGAAACACAAUUAUGGGCCAUAUAAUGUUUUAUUUGCUUCUGGCGAGCCAGCUCUGGACAAGCUUUACUGGUGGCUAAAUGGGAACCGGAACAUAAGCAGCAAAAAGCGUUAUCUUCCUCCACCAUACAGGAGUCACCAGUGUGAUCAUGGCCACACUUGUAACAGCGUGGUUUCGACCGACACUGUACCUUUGUGUGGCCAAAGCGGCAACAGUUGUAACACUGUAUGGUAGGGAAGAUAUAUAGUUCCACCGGAAGUGCAUUAUAGCAAAUAAAAAUACGCUUCGGCAAGACCUGGCCGUCGAAAGUGAUCACAGCAGAUUGUGACGGUUUCCAUACUGGUGUACCAUUAAUAAAGGUUUUAUAAUUGA